rnacentral:rRNA from 1 species
UACGUAGGGAGCAAGCGUUGUUCGGAUUUACUGGGUGUAAAGGGUGCGCAGGCGGUUUGGUAAGUCAGUGGUGAAAUCUCACAGCUCAACUGUGAAACUGCCUUUGAUACUGCUGAUCUUGAGUUAGGGAGAGGUCAAUGGAAUUCCAGGUGUAGCGGUGAAAUGCGUAGAUAUCUGGAAGAACACCAGUGGCGAAGGCGGUCGACUGGCCCUAAACUGACGCUGAGGCACGAAGGCCAGGGGAGCAAACGGG